GGCGAGUUGGCGGAGUGGUUACGCAGCGGUCUGCAAAACCGUGGACACCGGUUCGAUUCCGGUACUCGCCUCCA
rnacentral:tRNA from 2 species